CGGAACGGUUUUCGCAUCAAUUUCAUGGGAAAUCAAUCCUCUUCGGGAUCCAAAAAUCUCGACAGCGCAUUGCGCAACCCUCAGGCCGUAGCAGAAAAGAUGGCUCAAGAAAUAGCAGCAGGGCGAAUCCUAGGACCCUUUGACGCUCCUCCUUUUAAAAACUUUCGGGUUUCUCCUCUAGGCGUAGUUCCGAAAAAGUCCCCUGGAGAAUUUCGGCUUAUACAUAAUUUAUCCUUCCCCGCUGGACUAUCAUGAAGGCUUUGUUCCCCAAGAACUGAAGGAGUCGAUUGUCCAUCCAGUGCCAAAGUGCUCCCCUCCAAAGACUCUGAGUGAGGACCUUAGACCCAUUACCCUGACCUCUCAGUUAGCUAAAGUUAGGGAGGGAUUUGCACUUAAUUCGCUCUUCGCAUGCGUUAAGGAUAAGCUUGACCCUAAACAGUUCUCUGUAACAGGGAAGUCUACUGUGCAGGCCCUGGUAUAUUUUAUCCAUUGCAUCCUUGAACCCUGAAUCGCUUGAAAGAGGCGAAAGUUAUGUGCGCAUAUUUUUUGCCGACUUUUCAAAGGGCUUUGACCAUAACGUCUUAAUGUCUGAGCUCGACCUCCUGGGAGUCAACGAGUAUCUCCAAAAUUGGAUUGCUGCCUUUCUAACAGCCCGACCACAGCGCGUCAAAAUCAGUGGCCACACCUCGUCGCCUGUGUUCCCUAAUGGGGGCAUACCACAAGGCACUAAGCUUGCUCCACUAUUGUUUGCUAUACUUGUAAAACAGGCUGGCGAGCACUUUGCCAUAUCGCAUUAAGUAUGUUGAUGACACCACCAUCUUUGAAGUGAUUCCCAUGUGCUCGCCAAGUUAUCUGCCAUUUAUUGCUAAUGAUAUUUGCAAUUUUGCUACGGAGCGUGGGAUGAGGCUCAACCCCAAAAAGUGUCGGGAAUUAGUCAUUAAUUCCCUGCAGUACCAGCCCUCGCCAGUUAAUGCCCUGCAACUCAUGGGCUCCGUGAUUAGAAGGGUUGGGAGCUACAAAAUCCUCGGCGUCCACAUUAGCUCAGAUCUAUCGUGGAAUAAGCACGUAGACUAUGUAGUUAAGAAGGCAAACAAAAGGCUCUACGCUCUCCGGCUCCUUAAGAAAUCUGGAGUACCGGUCCAGGAUCUUGUUGCCAUCUAGUAAGAUCGGUAGUGGAGUACGCAGGUCCAGUAUGGGCUAAUAUACCAGGGUUCCUUGUCGACAUUGUUGAGGGCAUCCAAAAGAGGGCCCUCCGUAUCGUUUUACCCCAUCUACGAUACAAGGAGGCCUUAGACUCCAAAGUCUUGCUGACAGCAGGCGCGAGCUUUGUAUCAGUUUCAUGACCUCCGCUAAGGAGCUAGAACCCCUUCGAUCUGUAAUUACUGGAGGCGUAAUUAAUAACGAGCAUGGUUAUUCACUAAGAUCCGGAAGUAUGAAUACCUACAAACAUAGUUCUGUAACUAAACGCUUUUGUGACUUUGUAACUUAUCGAUUUCUGUAAUAUUUUAACGCUAUAUGUGCUGGCCCUUUGCCGUAAUUCAGUCUGUAAUACUGCCAUGGCAAUUCAAUAAAACCCUACCUACCUACCCACCCACCCACCCACCUACCUAUCUACCUACCUACCUACCUACCUACCUACCUACCUAUCCAGUAAUAUAUCCUAAGAAUGUUAUCGCCCUUCUUUUCUGAGGCUGUUUAGCAGGAGUUAUCACAGUUGCUUCUACUGAAUGAAAGUUAGAGUCAGUGAUAUGCAUAACACAGUUAAAAACAUUAGCUACUGCCUGAAUAAUUUUGUUGUCAGCCCAUGUCCCUUGUUUAGACAUUUCCUCAAUAUGUUUUGCCAUGAAUUGUUUGAAAUGCUUUCAAUGAAAAGGUCUGGGUUUUCAGCCAGGUAUGCAAUACCUGCACUUCUUAUUUGGUAAUGCAAAUCAGGUUUCCCAUAAAGUUGAUGUGAAACUGCUGUAAAAAAGCAAUCACCACAGCCUCCGACAUCAAGCGGCUCUAAGCCUAUCAAACCUUAUUUGCUGGCUAAACAAUGAUAAGGUGUAACAUUUGCAUCACUGGGAAACAUGCCACCCGUUAAAUUGGUUGCAUUUUUGUUUGUGACAGUGUCUGGCAUUUACAAACUUAAUGUUGACCAUUUUGGAAGUCAAAAAGAAGCUACUGUAAAAACUGUCUUGCCUCCGUACAAAAUCGACAUAGCAAUACUUGUAAUUAGCAAUUGCAUGGAAAAUAACAGAUGACAUCGGUACCAUCUUUUUCAACGCAUUCUUCGCUGAGUUUCUCGUUUUCCUCUUAUGGAAAUUGUUUAGAAACUUUCGCUUAGCAAACCUGAAGGGUUCACGAUCUCUGCGGAAUUUAAUAUUCGAUUGUUUGGAAUGUUUUCUAACUGAGUUUCAGAUUUCAUUGGUGUCAUACGAGAGUACCACAGCAUUCAAAGAUUUGUGAUCACUAGGAGCUUUGCAGCUACUAAGGUUGCAAGUCAAGUCAAGAGAAUCAUAAAUAGAUUUUGUUUUAACAGUGUUUCCAAAAGCCAUAGACUCCGUAGGCGUUUGGGCUAGAAUAUCCCGCCCUAAUAAGCACUGGGUUAAUUCUGGCUGUGUGGAUUCCCAAAGCCAUACAGCCAUUAGGCAUUGGGUUAUUGUUAUGGACUGGUAAGUUUUUCCAAACGCCGUACAGUUCAUAGGCAAGUGGGCUAGGGUAUUUAGGCAUUGAGUUGGGGUGCCAGUUGUUCGUUUUGCUCGUUUUAUGCUCAAUUUUGUCGAUAUCUCCAUCGACUGCGGGAGACGCGACCAUGGCACGUGUGCUAGUACGAAUGUUACGCUUCCGACCCGACUCAUAAGUCGGCAAAAUCGGUCUGAUGCUGUUAUUAAAUUCUCCUUCAACACUCUUUGAAUGCUGAUGAGUAAUUAUUCGGAGUUUUCAGGAGGACUUGGAGAGACAUCAGACUUUUUACCGUGGAUCACACACAACGAAUAAAAACGAAUCAAACUCUGGUAGUGUGUAUCACUGGUUAAUACUGGCGGACUAGAGGAACGCGACAUUAAAAGUCUGAUCGAUUAAAAGAGAAGUUUUAAAGUGGAGACGAAUUGGGCCAACGUCCAUGAGGUAAGACCGUUUUCGAUUCUUUAAAACUGGACCCGUCCGAAGACAACACGGCACACCAUGCGGGAGGAGCCGAGCGGGGAGCAGGGAGAGCUCGGCAAAUUUUCAGAAAGGCUCUGGAAACCGCUUAUACGGACAAGCGAACCGAGCUCGCUUGCUUACACAAGAAGCUAACCGUAAUUCAAUUUCUCGCGAGCCGGGAGCCUGACACGGUCUCCGAUGAAGCCUUAAACGAGUUGAGAACCGUGACAGAGCAGUUUAGAAUUACCAUGAGAGAUAUAUAUGAUUUGUACGAGCAGGACAAGUUUAGAGCAAUAAAUAAAAAUGAGCUAGAACUAGCAAAUAAAAAACAAACAUUGAACACUGCUUUACAUUUUCUUAUAAAGAAUAAACAAUCCGACAAACCGUCGGAUAUAAGUCGCUCGCGCCGCAGCAAGGGCUCUGAUAGUUCUGCGAUCAGCUCUACACGAAUCAAAGCAAUAGCAGAAGCUGCGGCGGCGAGAUAAAGCGCCAAUUUUUAACCUUUUAAUCGCACAAAGUGAGGAGGAAGAGGAAACCAGGAUAAGGAACGAUAUCCCCGGGGUUCCUAUCCUGCUUAAUGGAAAUAAAACGUCUGCCAAUCCACAAAAGACCAAUCCACAAAAGUAUUGCCUUUUCCUGCUAGCCAGUCAAUCGAUGGUGGAACCGUAUCUCCCACCAUCGGAUACAAGACUCAGCCUAGCGGUGAAGAAAAUCAAAUAAUAGCAGAUACCCCUUAAGCGCGCUUCCAGCAAAAUCCUCUUGUUUCUUCCACCCCAUGUCGCGAUCUAACCAGAGAACGCUUCCUAGAAUCACUUACAAUUUUAAAUCGGGAAAAAGUAGCGAGUCUGGCGCGACAAAACUUGCCAAAAUGCCAUCCAGACGUAUUGUCAGGUGAUCCCGUAUUGUUUCACCCUUGGAAAAGGGCAUUCAUAGCUAUGGUCAGAGAUGCGCGCGCAACGCCAGAUCUAGAAAUAAAUUACCUGGUUGGCUUCACCGAAGGAGAAGUGCGCAAAGUAGUUGAUAAUUAUAGGAAGCGCAUUCAAAACAAUCCACGCACGCUACUACAUAAUUUAUGGUCGGAGCCGGAGAGGCGUUUUGGUAGCACAGCAGUGAUCACGAACACUCUCCUAGAACGCUUGCGCUAUUCAGCAGCUUUCGGAGACCACGAUAAUCUUAAGCUUCAGGAAUUCUCAGAUAUCUGCGCAGAUGUUCUUAGUCAGAUAGAACACUUACCGGGUCUAGCCUGCCUUAAUUUCGCGAACGCAAUCAAUCCUAUUGUAGAGAAGCUGCGCGCAAAAAGGGAGAAGACCGUUGUUAAGUUCGCGGAAAAACAGUUCGCACGCAUAGUUGAAGAACGCGCUAAAACAAAAAAAAUCAUCCUAACAUCCUCACCGCUGGCACCCCCACGGUAGCGUCUACGACCCCUAGGAGAGAGAGGCCUGUGAGUCGACGAGCACUUACUUACAAACUCUCGCAAGGACGCACAACCCACAGAUCCGCAAGCAGACACAGUUAAGCCGCCCGACAAGUCCCCACCAAAGAACACACCAAAGUUUUGUCCGUUCCACGAGCGUGACAGCCACGGAAUUUAUUGCCUUCGGAUAAGAAAACGGAGUGUGUUUCAGAUGCUUUGCGCCACGUGACGAUGCUUCAUAAAAAGAACGCUCAGAGAGAAGUAAAACCGAAAUGCACCGCUAUUUGCAACCAAGAGGAGGGCGGUCUUUCAUGCGCCAAAAUCGUUCUAGUCGACGUUUUCGACGGGAAGAAUCCGGAGAAACUGUUUCGCGUGUACGCGAUAGUUGACGAUAAGAGCAAUUCGUUCAUGAUCAGUUCCGAGUUGGCUGACGAGAUUGGUGCCGAUGGCCCCCCGGAGAAGUACUUGUUAUCGACUUGCACAUCGAGUAAAGAGGUCAGUUACGGCCGAAGAGUCGACAACCUGCAAGUUAGAUCUAUGAACGAUACUGUUAUGAGGCUACCGACCCUUAAAUGCGGUCAACUACCCAGCGA